AUUGAACGCUGGCGGCAGGCCUACCACAUGCAAGUCGAGCGAGUGGCGUACGGGUGAGUAAUGUCUGGGCAACUGCCCGAUGGAGGGGGAUAACUACUGGAAACGGUAGCUAAUACCGCCUACCAUCGGAUGAACCCAUAUGGGAUUAGCUAGUAGGUGGGGUAACGGCUCACCUAGGCGACGAUCCCUAGCUGGUCUUAGAGGAUGAACAGCCACACUGGGACUGAGACACGGCCCAGACUCCUACGGGAGGCAGCAGUGGGGAAUAUUGCACAAUGGGGGCAAGCCUGAUGCAGCCAUGCCACGUGUAUGAAGAAGGCCUUAGGGUUGUAAAGUACUUUCAGCGGGGAGGCGUUACUCGCAGAAGAAGCACCGGCUAACUCCGUGCCAGCAGCCGCGGUAAUAC
rnacentral:rRNA from 1 species